rnacentral:rRNA from 1 species
UACAGAGGUCCCGAGCGUUUGUUCGGAUUCAUUGGGCGUAAAGGGUGCGUAGGCGGCGUGGUAAGUCUGAUGUGAAAUCCUGGGGCUCAACCCCAGAACUGCAUUGGAUACUGCCAUGCUAGAGUACUGGAGAGGAAACUGGAAUUUACGGUGUAGCAGUGAAAUGCGUAGAGAUCGUAAGGAAGACCAGUGGCGAAAGGCGGGUCUCUGGACAGUUCCUGACGCUGAGGCACGAAGGCCAGGGGAGCAAACGGG